UACGGGGGGAGCAAGCGUUGUUCGGAUUUACUGGGCGUAAAGGGCGCGUAGGCGGCCACCGCAAGUCAAUUGUGAAAUCUCCGGGCUUAACUCGGAAAGGUCAACUGAUACUGCGGGGCUAGAGUGCGGAAGGGGCAACUGGAAUUCUCGGUGUAGCGGUGAAAUGCGUAGAUAUCAAGAGGAACACCUGCGGCGAAGGCGGGUUGCUGGGCCGACACUGACGCUGAGGCGCGAAAGCCAGGGGGGCGAACGGG
rnacentral:rRNA from 1 species